CGAAAGAGCCAUUCGUCAACGGUGGCUGAGGACACAGAAGUCAUAAUUUACCGGUAUCCUGUCUGCCUGCUAGCACCUCCCAGGGAUGAGCCUGGUAAAUGUGCGUAAAAUGGAACAUGACUCAUGUCAAGUUUUUACCUGACAAGUAAGUAUUGGAAGGACACUUGUGUCCCUCCCAUGAUCCUUUGCAGCUGGCAGGCAGCUAUGAGAAAAAACAAGAAAGUGACCAGUAUGGAAUACAACAAUUUCAAUACAAAUCCUCUUUAAAAUAAAAUUCAACUACACUAGCUGGCCACUUUAUUACGUAUCCCUACAUUGCAGCAUGCAGUUUUGUCUCCAGAUCCACCUCAAUCAUUGACACGUUCAGAGAGGUCUUGCUACACACGACUGUUUCACUGAGCAGUUAUUAUGCACUUGUGGACUUCCUGUUAGCUUUAAUGAGCCUGGCCAUUCUCCUCUGACCUCUCACACCACUGCCUAAUCCGAUGUUAUCUGCUGUAAAAUCUAGAUCAAGGUGAGCUGCCGUUUCUGAAAAGCUGGAACUACCAUGUUUGGCACCAACAAAUCACAUCACGUUCAGAAUCACUCAGGAUCGAUCACAUGUCUUAGCUGUGCUAAUGCUUAAUCAAAAGGUAUACAAGCUAACCUCUUGACCUUGUCAGUAAUGGUGAAUAUAUUAAGUUGCAGCCACAUGAUGUGUUAUCAGGCUGGUUAUAUUAGCAGGCAGGUGCACCUAAUAAACAGCCCAUUAUUGUCCUUCAAUCCACAGACAACCCUACUUUACCUCUUGUCAUACAAACUCAGCGAAUGCCCAAGCUUGUAGCCUCUAUGACCUGACCAACCUGCACCCAAAUGGGAAAGUCACAUGACAUUCACAACAGGAAUGGGAAAAGGACGUGUGACAUAUAAGAUGCCUUUUAAUGUGAGUCAGGGGCCAAGAGAGAGCCCGCUUCUAGUGUUGCACCAAAGUGGAAAUUUUGGCAGAUACAGAUAACCCAGGGGUCGGCAACCUGCGGCUCUUUGGCCACGUGGCUGCGGCUCUUCUCAGAAUGACAGACGCAUUCACAUUUUCAUGUGUUAACACAUUAUGUAAAUGACCGCUAUUUCUUUAAUUCCCUCUGUGAUACAGACGUUGACGUAAUUUACGUGCCUCGGAACCUGCGUAGUCAGGUAGUUGUUUUUUUUUUUUUCCUUUGUGUCCGACUGCAGAGCGGUCUCUGUGUUUUACAACAAGCUAGCAGCGCUCCAUGUUAGUGUGAGCAAAGUUUUAAUCCUUGCAGUUUUUUUUUGUUGCUUUUGCACCCUUUGGCAAGCGGAGCGAGUGGCAGGGCACUCUGCAGGAACGAAGACGAGAAUGAGACAGACAGCGACAGACAGACAGAGUGAGAAAUGAGCAGGAGAUGGAAAGUGAGAGACGGACAGACUGCGAGAAGGAGAUGGAAAGAAAAAGGGAGAGAUGGAGAGAGAGAAAUCCCAUGCAAAACAGGGCAGAGAGGCCUCUCCUGAUGCGAACAGCGUGCGGAUCUUCCCGUCGACCGGCCAGAGGCCACCAGUUGGGCCUCUGCUCCCUGUCCCUUCUCAGUGAAGACGGGGGCGGGCAGGGAAAUUAGUGGAUUGCUGUUCCUUGGUCGCCAGUGCGGUGUGAGAAGUGACCCCCCCGCCAAACCAAGCCACCCCCCUCCCGCCUGAGUGGAAGACACCUCAGUGACGCUGAUUAGGGGGGUGAGACACAUUUAUUACAGCCAGUUCAUGAUGCCAGGGGACAGUAAUGUGCCAGGAACAGACUGCUGCUCCAUCUGACACUGAAAACAGGCGUCCGACAAACACACACACUGCUGCUCGGAAGGCUGCAGUCCACAGGCCAAACAUGGCACACCUUGACCUCAAACAUGUUCUCUGACGAGCGAGCAGAUCCCUUAGCAAGGCCACGGCGGAUUCAACAAGCCUGCAUUCCUAAAAGCAGAGACAGGUACAGGGCGAACUACACAUACACAUACUCUGGACCAGCCCAGACUUUCACUCCACUUCAAAACCAAUUCAAUCACUACGGAUUAAUUCAAACAAUGAAAUAAAAGCAUCAAAUAAAGCCACACAUUUCUUUACAUUGUAUCCCAACCCAGUAAAACUAGGAACCUAAUCAGCACCAUUUUAAAACGGCAGUAACACAGAGGUAACGAAAACAGAAGCGAUAUAAUUUCAUACCCAAGUAGGAAGCUGUUACGGGUACACAAACACAGUUUUUUUUAAA